rnacentral:lncRNA from 1 species
GUUAAUAAGGCCCUUAUGUUGGAGGAUAAGCAUUAUGCAAUGGACGACACCCGUAAGCACAAGCUGAUGGGUAGUGGAGGACCUAGUAACCCGAAGCCAUGCCCAUGGUAGUCAGCUCCAGCAAGACCUAACUAUCAAUAGCAGCAGUACAAGUCUCCAACAUUUCGUCAGAACUACCAGCCCCAACAGCAAGUCAACACCAAGCCAACAUUCAACCCACCAAAUAACAGUGG